GCAAACAGCAACACACAGUGGAGAGACACAUUACAUAAGCAUGCUGACUGAUUUCACCCAAAUGUCUGCCCCUUAGGUUUCUAUUGUCCUGAAAGCACAGGUUAUGACUGGAGGCCUUGUCCGGUGGGGACAUACAGUCCUGACUCUGGUUUGAGCAGCCUCUCUGAAUGUAGGGAAUGUGAUGGAGGACACUACUGCUCUCUUCAGAACUCCACCUCUGUCACAGGAAAAUGCUCUGAGGGAUAUUACUGUGCACAUGGAAACAUCUCACCUCAACCUCACAAGCAGUCUUCGGGAGGGGGACCUUGUCCUGCAGGUCACUUUUGCCCGCAAAGCACUGCUCAGCCUCAGCCUUGUCCAGAGGGCACUUUCAGUAACAAAUCCCAACUGGUGAAAAUGGAAGAGUGUUUGUUAUGUCCUGCUGGCCAUUAUUGUGACAUAUCUGGGCUGACUUCACCCAGUGGAGAAUGCUGGGAAGGUUUUUACUGCAAACAGGGAGCCGUACUCCCCAACAGCCCAAUCAACGAUCACAGAGGAGGACCGUGUCCGACAGGUAAUUGACAGAUCCCCCAAUUCAAGGCAGAUUAAAAACACCCACCUUCCCCUCAAACCGGCCCACCUCAUCCUGUUUUCUGCUCCCGCGUAGGUUAUUUUUGCUCUAGAGGCUCAGGCGCUCCUCAAACCUGUCCAGAAGGAUACAUCAGCAGUAGAGAGAGACAGGCCAGCUGCAGCCUGUGUCCUCAGGGGUAGACACACUUAUACAUAAACAAGAAAGUUUAACAUUUAAAGGUGAAGUGUAUAAUUUUUUUAAUGUUAAAAUACUUUCUGCUCUCCCAGGUGGUGCAGAGACAGCUAGAAGUACGACAUUUAUACGUUAAUUCUCCCAAAACUCAACAAACCUGACACAGUAACAUUGACUCAGCCAACAGAGUGCAACAGGCGGUUUCCAGAAGUAAAAAUCCCAUUCAUUUUCUCCAUUGGGGAACUGAUUUUGAACAAUAACUUACAAACUUUAGAGACAGACCUACUGUGAGCUACGAGGUUGUUAAUCGGUGGUACUGUAUAUGCUUUUGUUGAACCCAUCAGCCCGCAUUAUUUCAACAUAUUUAAAUAAAUAGUUGUUUAACAGCA
ensembl:lncRNA